AAUUGAAUCAUCACUCUCAGUGAUACCACCAUGGGAUGCUCAGGGCUGUUGAUUUUGGGCUUUGUCCUAAAUAUGUCUCACUGCUUGGACAUUCUGGAUAUGGAGGAGGACAUGGAGAUUGAUCGUAACGUCACUGGGAUCCUUGGAGAGGACAUCUUCCUCCGCUGUCAGUACCUGGGACAGAAUGACAUCACAGACGCCUCAUGGAAACGCCCAGACUCUAGAAUGAAGCGAUCGAUGAAGAAAUUAACAGGCUACAAGAACAACAAGGCUUUCAGCAAAGACCCAGACUUCUCCACCCCAGCCUCUCCCACCAAUCUGACUGUGAAGAUGAGGGUGUCUACUCUGGAGGCUCAGGGGGAGUACACAUGCGUGUUUGCCACUGAUGAAGAGGAGAUCACUAACAGCAUGUUUCUCACUGUCCUGGCUCGACCUGAUAUCCACACAGAGGUGACAGAGGACACAGACAACGCUACCCACUACCAGUCAGUCACAUGCUCAGCUACCAAUGGUAAACCUGUGGCUCUGAUUCGCUGGGAGAUCAACGGCAGUCCUCCUACUGACAACUCCUCUGUGGAGAUGAGGAGCACCAGUUAUACCAAUGGCACUGCCACUGUGACCAGCAUUCUCCGCUUCCCCACCCACCUACAGGACCAGGACAGGGUGACCUGUGUGGUCCAGCACCCAACCCUGCCUGACCCCACCACACAUAUCACAGUGGGGGUGGAGACCUUCAUGGCUCCCAAUGUGACCAUUGAGACAUACCUGGUUCUAGAGGACGGGGAGGAGUUCUGGGUGGUCACCUGUGGUGCAGCUGGAGGGCGACCCCGAGCUGACAUCACCCUGGUGCUGCUCAAUCGGGAUGCCAGUUCCAUGCUACAGAAGGAGGUUGUCAUGGAUGCAGCAGACACAUUGGUCAGGUCAUACCGCUUCCCAGCUGAGCUUCAUGAAGGGGAAAACAUCACCUGUCUGUUUGACCACCCCAAGUUCCCACACAGAGAGCUACGGACCACCACUUUGCCGGCAUUCUAUCUGUCUGCUGUUCGGCUGCUGAACCCAGGGUUGGCAGACCGCAGCAACAAGAGCCAGGCUGUAGAGUCAGUGGUUCUGGAGGAAGGACAGAGCAAAACCACCAUCGGGCUAAAGGUCGUUGGGGAUGUACCACAUUACAGUAUCGUAUGCACCAAAGAAGAGCAGUCUCUCCCUGAGGGUGUGGAGGUGAUUGGCAGUGCUCUAAACCUGCAGGGUCCUGUGGAGCUCUACCAUGCAGGGCUGUAUGAGUGUGAGGCCUCCUACUACAGCCACAGGGCAUCUGUACUGCUGGACAUUACCGUUAACCCACAAGUCAAGCAGUCUGUGACUGUUCCUCCCAGCAUAAGGAUUGAUGUCCAGGACAGACUGGGUAACAGGUUCAUUGAGUGCCUGGCUGCAGACUCUGUCCCCAUUGCCAAUGUGUCCUGGGUUCUACCUGAGGGUGUGUCUGGGCCCUCCUGGUCCAGUCUCACAUCCCAUAAUGGAACCCACUCUGUCAGCAGUGUGUUAGUCCUGCCUGCCUGCUCAGCCCAGGAGCUCAAUAUGGAGUGUGUGAUAGAUCAUUCUGUGUUUGUGUUGCCAGAGAGAAGACAGAUAACACUCCCUGUGUGUGCUCCUCCUAACAUCACCAUCCAGUCCAGCUCUGAGUGGGAGGAAGAUGUAGCAUACACACUGGUGCAGUGCACUGUGGACAGUGUUGGACCUGCUGCCACUAUCUCCUGGAGUCUUGGAGACAGGGACAGUGACAAUAGUACCAGUCAGCUUAAAGAGGGGCAGGAGCAGGAUCAGGGGCAGCCUGAGCACCAUGCCAAUGGCUCUGUGACGGUCUGUAGUGUGUUGAGGCUCCCCACUUCCAUGUUCUCUGGUCAGAAUGUCACCUGUGUGGUGGAGCAGCUGGGUCUUGAAAGGCCAGAGAGAAGAGGGAUACUGCUGCGUGGAUUGGAGUCCCCUGUGAUGCGUGUUUUUGUUGCGAGGCAGAGCAGAUCUCUGUGGCUGGCUGUGUGUGAGUACAGAGGGGACGGGAUCAGAGCACACCUCUCCUGGGUUCUACCUGACAACACCACAGGCCACAUCUCCUUCCGCUCUGGGUAUGAAGGUGUGAGAGUGCUAACCAACCUCACCUAUGAGUUCCCACUGGCCCUCCACGAGGGACAGGACCUGACUUGCCUCUUUCAAAAUCACCAUGGACUUAAGGAGAGGAGGACAGUCCAUGUCCCCAGAUACUACAUAUCAUCUGUCAGACUACUGAACCAAACCACUCCCCUGUACAAACAUUAUGGAGAUGAGUCCGUCAUACACCGAAUGUCUCUAAAGGAGAAUUUCCAAAACCAGAGGAUCCUGCUCAAAGUCUAUGGCAGUGUACCAACUUACAACCUCACCUGUCACAGAAAUGAUGGCUCAUUGGUCCAGAUGGAUGGCGGAGCUCUGUUGUUCCAAUCAAAGGUCACGGACCAGGAUGCGGGCCUCUACACCUGCCACGCCUCUUUCUACCACCAUAAGGCCUCAGUCCUCAUUCAAGUGGAGGUCACCAGUGAAGAUAAACAGCUCAUGAUGGUCUUCAUCGUCUGCUUCUCCUCGGCUGCGGCCAUCUCGAUCCUACUCAUUGUCACUUUGUGUGUUUUCUGGUGAGUCGACCAGCAGGUUGGCAGGUGACAAACAGGAAACCAGCAAAAUAAAUGGAGGAGACCGCCCAGCAUCUAAGAAGCGAGAGUCGCUGGCACCCCUAACCUCUCUGACCCAGGACCUGUGCUCUCCAGAGUUGAGGAAGGGGAAGGCAGCAGUGACAGUACCAGGAGGAGGAGGCCAGGAGUACAACCAGCUGCUCAGCUACUCUAUUGUCAUUGAUGCCAGAUCAACUGUGUAAAUAACAGGGUGCACCCCCUACUGCCACCAUAUAGAGCACUACUUGUGCACUGUAUAGGAAAUAGGGUGUCAUUUGAGUCUGGUUGAUUUAGUUUGGUAGGUAAAAAAAAAAGCAUACUCAGUAAAUGCAUUUUUAAAAACUUGAUAAGGAUAUCGCAAAAGUCAGAGACUUAUUUCCAUUGUGGUCCCUAAAUUCCAUGGUGCAAAAACAUUACAACAUCACAUACAGUUGAAGUCGGACGUGUACAUACACCUUAGCCAAAUACAUUUAAACUGUUUUUCACAAUUCUUGACAUUUAAUCCUAGUACAAAUGCCCUGUCUUAGGUCAGUUAUGAUCACCACUUUAUUUUAUUAAGAAUGUGAAAUGUCAGGAUAAUAGUAGAGAAUGAUUAAUUUCAGCUUUUAUUACUUUCAUCACAUUCCCAGUGGGUCAGAAGUUUACAUACACUCAAUAUUAUUUGGUAGCAUUGCCUUUAAAUUGUUUAACUUGGGUCAAAUGUUUCAGGUAGCCUUCCACAAGCACAAUAAGUUGGGUGAAUUUUGGCCCAUUCCUCCUCACAGAGCUGGUGUAACUGAGUCAGGUUUGUAGGCCUCCUUGAUCGCACAUGCUUUUUCAGUUCUGCCAACACAUUUUCUAUAGGAUUGAGGUCAGGGCUUUGUGAUGGCCACUCCAAUACCUUGACUUUGUUGUCAUUAAGUCAUUUUGACAUAACUUUGGAAGUAUGCUUGGGGUUAUUGUCCACUUGGAAGACCCAUUUGCGACCAAGCUUUAGCUACCUGACUGACGUCUUGAGAUGUUGCUUCAAUAUAUCCACGUAAUUAUCCUUCCUCACGCUUUUUUAUGGCAGUUUUGGAGUGGUGGAAUCUUCCUUGCUGAGCGGCCUUUCAGGUUAUGUUGAUAUAGGACUCCUUUUACUAUGGAUAUAGAUACUUUUGUACCCGUUUCAUCCAGCAUCUUCACAAGGUCCUUUGCUGUUGUUCUUAGAUUGAGUUGCACUUUUCACACUAAAGUACAUUCAUCUCUAGGAGACAGAACGCGUUUCCUUCCUGAGCGGUAUGAUGGCUGCGUGGUCCCAUGGUGUUUAUACUUGCGUAUUAUUGUUUGUACAGAUGAACGUGGUACCUUCAGGCGUUUGAAAAUUGCUCCCAAGGAUGAACCAGACUUGUGGAGGCCUGCAAUUUAUUUUCUGAGGUUUUGGCUGAUUUCUUUUGAUUUUCCCAUGAUGUCAAGCAAAGAGGCACUGAGUUUGAAGGUAGGCCUUGAAAUACGUUCAAUUACACCUCCAAUUGAUUAAAAUGUCAAUUAGCCUAUCAGAAGCUUCUAAAGCCAUGACAUAAUUUUCUGGAAUUUUCCAAGCUGUUUAAAGGCACCGUCAACUUAGUGGAUGUAAACUUCUGAUCCACUGGAAUUGUGAUACAGUGAAUUAUAAGUUAAAUAAUUUUGUCUGUAAACAAUUGUUGGAAAAAUGACUUGUGUCAUGCACAAAGUAGAAGUCCUAACAGACUUGACAAAACUAUAGUUUGUUGACAAGGUAUUUGUGGAGUGGUUGAAAAACGAGAUUUAAUGACUCCAACGUAAGUGUAUGUAAACUUCCAACUUCAACUGUAGAUACAGAUACAUUACACAGACAUUUUUUUUUUUUCAUUAGCAAGCUUUUGACUGUAGGCAACCACAGGCUUGUACUAUAUGUCAGAGAACAUUCAGAUGGGUCUGCUGACCCAGCUAGAGUAUUCUGUGCAUCACUCUUACGUGAUUCAUGCCAGGAUAUUAAAAUGCAUUAUUUUGUGAAUUUUUCAUGAUUUUUUUGUUUUGUUUAUUAGUGUAUUAUUAUGUAUGUCAUGCUUUGGUGUUUUCAAUAAUCGUAAUAUGUUGUAAAGAAAUGUAUUGUAAAACUGCUAGAAAUGAUGUUGAGCGUAGCAACUGUUUGUUUUACUGUUUUGGAUUUCUGGUCCCCACAAGUAUUAAACUUUGAAAGGUUGUUCAUUUUGGUUAUCUAAUGUUGUAAAAUCCGGAGCAUUAUCAUUAAAGUUACUGUAAAUGUG